UCGAUGUAUGGUCUAUAGCUGCUAAAAUGAUUUUAUCACUAAAAAACAUGUCCCGUAUCUGCAUUUGUAUCAUUUUAAGGUCUAUCGAAUAUUUACCGUGAUAAAAUCAUUUUAGCAGCUAUAGGCUAUAUCUAA
rnacentral:miRNA from 1 species